rnacentral:rRNA from 1 species
AUUGAACGCUGGCGGCAGGCCUAACACAUGCAAGUCGAGCGGAUGAAGGGAGCUUGCUCCUGGAUUCAGCGGCGGACGGGUGAGUAAUGCCUAGGAAUCUGCCUGGUAGUGGGGGAUAACGUCCGGAAACGGGCGCUAAUACCGCAUACGUCCUGAGGGAGAAAGUGGGGGAUCUUCGGACCUCACGCUAUCAGAUGAGCCUAGGUCGGAUUAGCUAGUUGGUGGGGUAAAGGCCUACCAAGGCGACGAUCCGUAACUGGUCUGAGAGGAUGAUCAGUCACACUGGAACUGAGACACGGUCCAGAAUCCUAAGGGAGGGAGCAGGGGGGAAUAUUGGACAAUGGGCGAAAGCCUGAUCCAGCCAUGCCGCGUGUGUGAAGAAGGUCUUCGGAUUGUAAAACACUUUAAGUUGGGAGGAAGGGCAGUAAGUUAAUACCUUGCUGUUUUGAAGUGACCAACAGAAUAAGCACAGGCUAACUUCGUG